GACGAACGCUGGCGGCGUGCUUAACACAUGCAAGUCGAACGGAAAGGCCCUGCUUUUGUGGGGUGCUCGAGUGGCGAACGGGUGAGUAACACGUGAGUAACCUGCCCUUGACUUUGGGAUAACUUCAGGAAACUGGGGCUAAUACCGGAUAGGAGCUCCUGCUGCAUGGAGGGGGUUGGAAAGUUUCGGCGGUUGGGGAUGGACUCGCGGCUUAUCAGCUUGUUGGUGGGGUAGUGGCUUACCAAGGCUUUGACGGGUAGCCGGCCUGUGAGCGUGACCGGCCACAUUGGGACUGCGAUACGGCCCAGACGCCUACGGUAGGCAGCAGUGGGGAAUAUUGCACAAUGGGCGGAAGCCUGAUGCAGCAGCGCCGCGUGCGGGAUGACGUCCUUCUGGUUGUAAACCGCUUUCGCCUGUGACGAAGCGUGAGUGACGGUAAUGGGUAAAGAAGCACCGGCUAACUACGUG
rnacentral:rRNA from 1 species